AUCACACCUGCGUUCCCGCGCUGGAAGACAUUGCCUCGGGCCGUCACUGCUUCGAUCUAUACUCGGCACAUCGCCCAGUAUACCACGAGUUCCCUUAUCUUGGUAAGCACAGCGUCCUUUUCUUCCUCAAGGCAACAUGAAGAGCCAAGUUUUCGCCAUCUUCCUGAUUCUCUGCUUCACCUCCAUCAAGGUGAACGCUAACGAGGACGUGGACGCCAUCAUCAAGGCCCUGAAGAUCUUCGUUGAAGGCCUCCAUCUUGACGAGAAGGAGUCUCAGGAGAUCCUCAGCAAGAUAAGCACAGCGCAAGAGAACUGCCUGUCCGAAGCCGACAACAUAAACCUCGGAAAUCGUCAAGGAGCUUGCUUUGGGGUUCGUUCCGGCCGUAAUGGAGUGCCGUGGCAGCGUCGCCCAUGAUGAGGAUCCUCAUGAAAGACUAACAGAAAUCGUCGACUGCGUAAAAGAGAAGGCGAACGAAUACGAGGCGUCCAGUGCUAUGACAGAGGAGGAACAGCAGAAGUUUGAGAGUGCCUUGGAGUGCCUCGAAAAUUUAGUGAAGGAGUAGUGUGAUCUCCACAGAAAUAAAGCGCAGCUGAAAAACUGCUGCGUCAGUAGGACAGGCAGCAGCAUCUCAGCAAGCUUUACGAAGUGCAGGACGAAAUAAACGUGAGAAAAAUGAAUGAA